rnacentral:rRNA from 1 species
GAUGAACGCUAGCGGCAGGCUUAAUACAUGCAAGUCGAGCGGGACCUUCGGGUCUAGCGGCGGACGGGUUAGUAACGCGUGGGAACGUGCCCAAAGGUACGGAAUAGCCUCGGGAAACUGAGAGUAAUACCGUAUGUGCCCCUCGGGGGAAAGAUUUAUCGCCUUUGGAUCGGCCCGCGUUGGAUUAGGUAGUUGGUGGGGUAAUGGCCUACCAAGCCGACGAUCCAUAGCUGGUUUGAGAGGAUGAUCAGCAACACUGGGACUGAGACACGGCCCAGACUCCUACGGGAGGCAGCAGUGGGGAAUAUUGGACAAUGGGCGAAAGCCUGAUCCAGCCAUGCCGCGUGAGUGAUGAAGGUCUUCGGAUCGUAAAGCUCUGUGGGAAGGGACGAAAAAAGCCGACCUAAUACGUCGGAGCUUGACGGUACCUUCUUAGCAAGACACCGGCUAACUCCGUGCCAGCAGCCGCGGUAAGGUCGUCAUGU